CCUGUUAAACCAGAUGAAAAGACGCGUUGAGCAUAAGAAUGGUGAUAAUCCUCUGGUACGACUAAGAAAGAGAAAAACACUCAGGCUCAUUGACUGUAGUCAGUGCAAGAGGGCCAACUGACGAAUACGGCUGUGUAAGAUGGCAACCUGACUUUCCCACUGAAGAAACGGAAGAACCUUUGGCGGCAAAGCAUGAGAAAAUGAAGCAGUUUUAUUCCAAAGAAGGGCCUACAGGAGGUGACAGAGGACAACUCUCGCAGCUCAUGAAAGCAACAUUUGACUUACAGCGCAGUGCCAUUAACGCUAGCCCAGCACCUAAGGUAGCCGAGCUGAGGAGUGAGUCACUAAGACUGAUUGUUCAAGGGGACAUAACGACUGCUGCCAAAUGGGAUGACAGGCAUCGAGAAGGAGGUCGUGAUGACGGUCCACUCAAACUUUGUGGAAGCACCGGCAGCUUUUUUUUUUUUGCCUCAUUCUACACCUUCAAUCUGCAAUACCAAGAGAAGGCUUCACACACCCUAAAGUUCAUCCAAAGAUGUUUUGCUGGAAUCAAUGCAUCCACUGGCUCGAAGACCGCCACAGCAGAGGUCAUCAGCAACCCUUAUUAAAGCUUGAGCAUGUAGUUUUGGGAAGGGCCAAAUUAGAAAUCUGGGAAUAGGACAAAAUAUCCAUUGAUCUUUUCUGACCUUAAAUCUCACAAUUCUAAAGUCUAAUUACCCUUCCCAAAAAGACAUACUCUGUGUUUAACCUGGGAGUGAAGGUAAUGACAAACCUAAGAUAAGGCCAGGCAGAGAGCAGGCCUACUACCCCUCCAAGAUUUAAAAAAAAAAUGUUUAGCUCAAAGCGAGGCAAUGUGAUUUUUGAGUUACCUGUGUGUGAAAAUAUAUUUUUAUUUCAAAAGCUAAGAUAUGUACAGUAUACCAGUGCUUUUCUUAUCUGUAAUUAUAUCACUUUCUAUGGUGGAACAGUUGUAAACAUGCACCUUAUUCAGGACAUUGAUAUAUAUUUUUUAAUUGAUACACUUGAAACCUUUUUGUUGAAAAAAAUGGCUUUGCAUCUGAAUGCAGAAUAGCCUUGUGACAAACUAUCAAUAUUUUUUUAUGUCACAUACAAGCUAGAAUAUCAUACCAAUUCUGUUAAGAUGAACAAUUGUAUUUUGUCCUAAUGAAUCAUUUAAAAAUGUACACUUUUUGAUAGGUGCUGGGGGAAAGGUGUAGGUUUGUCGUUGAGGCAUUUAUGAUGCAGCACAUUUGGCUACGGUUUAUUGGCAUUUCCCACCUAGCAAUGGUGAAGUUGUACUAUGGCAGCUUAUUGAAAGUGUUUGUCACUUUUUUGGUUUGUUAACA